GUGUCAGCCGCCGCGGUAAUACGUAGGAGACGAGCGUUAUCCGGAUUUACUGGGCGUAAAGAGGGCGUAGGCGGUCUUUCAAGUCGGAUGUGAAAUCUCCCGGCUUAACUGGGAGGGGUCAUUCGAUACUGUUGGGCUAGAGGGCAGCAGAGGGAGGUGGAAUUCCCGGUGUAGUGGUGAAAUGCGUAGAUAUCGGGAGGAACACCAGUGGCGAAGGCGGCCUCCUGGGCUGUUUCUGACGCUGAGGCCCAAAAGCGUGGGGAGCGAACAGGAUUAGAUACCCUGGUAGUCCACGCUGUAAACUAUGGACACUAGGUAUGGGGAGUAUCGACCCUCUCCGUGCCGAAGCUAACGCUUUAAGUGUCCCGCCUGGGGACUACGGCCGCAAGGCUAAAACUUAAAUGAAUUGACGGGG
rnacentral:rRNA from 1 species